AUCCAGCUGUUAUGCAGAGGAAGCAUAAGCUUAUAUUGACCAGGCCUAAAGAACCUGAAUUUGUAACAGCUCAACGUGUUCGUCCAACAAGAGUCAAGAGUUCAGCUGAGCUAGAGGAAGAAAUGAUGGCCAAAAUUCCCAAGUUUAAGGCUCGACCAUUAAACAAAAAGGUACUGUACCCCCUUAUGUUAGACAUUUGAUCCCUCCUUUCUUGAUUUUAAAUAGUGUCUUUUGAUCUUACCUUCCAAAUUGUUUUGACUAUUUGGUAACAGAUAUUGGAAAUUCCAACUCUACCAGCAUUACCGAAGAGUACACCUCAACUACCAGAAUUUAAGGUAUUGUAUAGAUUAUCAAAAUCAAAAUAUUCAGAGUAAAUUUGAUAUCCAAUAUUAAUCUUUACUUCUGCAGGAAUUUCAUUUGCAAACUAUGGCACGGGCGAAUCAAAAUGCUGAAACAUCAACAGUUGCAUCAAUAGAAUCUACUCAGGUAUAGGGAGUGCUUCCUGUAAUUACUCAGUAAAAAAAAAUUAUUUGCUUUAGGUACUAAAUAAAAACAAAUUCAUUCAUCACAGAGUCAUCAAUGGAAGCCGACGCAUCUUACAGCUCCAAAAUCACCUCUUCUUAAAACAUCACUAAGAGCACGGCCUCCAAAGAUCAAAAGCUCUGAAGAAAUGGAAAAGGAAGAACUUGAAAAAGUUCCCAUUUUUAAGGCAAGGCCAUUGAAUAAGAAGGUAACCACAGCUGCCUUUCUGAUUAUUAUACAGGAAAACUCUCUUGCUCUCUACUUUUCCCCUUGUUGCUAAGUUCCUCAAAUUGUAGAUUUUUGAAAGUAAGGGAGAUUUGGGGAUGUUCUGCAACAUAAAGAGGCAGGUAACAGUGCCUCAGGAAUUUCAUUUUGCCACAGAUGAACGUAUUCCGCCUCCAACUAACGUAGCUGAUAUAUUUGACAAGGUUCCAUAUUAAUGUCAUAUUUCUUACUCCCUAUUAUCUUACUGUUCAACACUUGCUUCCUAAUCAUUGUAUCUUUCCCUAUUUUCAGCUUUCCCUUAAUUCUGAACCUCAAAAUGACAAGACUACUCUCCCUAGAAACACCGCCCCGAAUCCUUUUCAUCUCCACACUGAGGUAUGUAGUUUUGUUAUGUUCUUGGUUUUUUCCUUUUUAGCUAAGUACAGCAGUUCCCUCAUCUUGGCCUUCAUUGGAGUUUAGGAACGAGGUGCAGAGAAAGAGAGGAGAUUGUUCACCGAACUUCUACAUAAACAAAUCGAGGAGGAGCGGUCCAGAAUUCACAAAGCAACUCCGUAUCCAUACACCACUGAUUAUCCCGUGGUACGCUUGUCCUAACCAAUCUUUUCUAGUAUCUACUCUAACAUGGAUUCUUUCUGCAAUCCUGUUUUUACGUUCGUCAUUACCUUGUUUUGUCAUGCUAGAUUCCACCAAAACCAGAACCAAAGCAGUGCACAAGACCGGAACCUUUCCAAUUGGAGAGUCUCACUAAGCAUGAGGAGGAGAUGCGGAGGCAUAUGGAAGAAAGGCGAAGAAUGGAGGAGGAAGAAGCAAAGAUGAGGAUUUUUAAGGCGCAACCAGUAUUGAAAGAGUAAGAACUAAAAGAACAAGUUUUCCACACAGUGUUGUUUUCUCAGUUUAUGUCAAAAGAUGGUUUAUAUUUUUCAUCAUUAAUAAUGCAGGGACCCAAUACCAGUUCCUGAGAAAGUACGUAAACCCCUCACUGAAGUUCAAGACUUUAAACUGCAUGUAGAUCACCGUGCUCAUGAUAGAGCUGAGUUCGAUAAGAAGGUAAUUCUCUGUUCCAUUACAGAAGCGCGUACAUAGAUUUGCCUUCGUCCUUGGCAUCCAAUGCUCAGGUCAUAAGUUGUUACUGUGCAGAUUAAGGAGAAAGAGAUGAUGUAUAAAAGGUAUAGAGAGGAGGCAGAAUCUGCAAAAAUGGUAUGCGCACAUCUUGAUUUUGUCAUUUAAUGUAAUGUUGUGAUGAGAUCGGAUUGAAUUCUUAUUUCAUUUAUGGAUAGAUGGAGGAAGAGAAGGCGCUGAAACAACUGAGGAGAACUUUGGUGCCCCAUGCAAGACCUGUGCCUAAAUUUGAUCAUCCAUUUCAACCUCAGAAGUAUGUAAAUUUAGCAUGUUGGAUGUUUUCUGCUUUUUUUCUUCUCUACCUUCUCCGUUCUUCUAAAUCUUUUGCAUCCACAGGUCUUCAAAACAAGUGACAAAGGCAAGAUCACCAAAGCUACAGAUUGUUAAGAGAAAAGAAAGGAGGGCAAUGACCUGCCCUUAUGCGGCAGCUUCUAGUGCUGCCUACCAAAUGAGGUAGUGAUAAAAAUGGCAGCCCGGUUCAAAUGAGGUAGUGAUCAAUUCAAAAAUUUGGGGAGCUGCUAAUUAGUUGUUCAAGAAAUCUUGAAUUCUACACAGAGAGGAGGGGGGAAAUUUUGAGUUCAGAAGAAUAUUUGUAAUGUAUGUAAAACUUGUGCAAAAUCGGAGCUCUACAAAUUCACUUUAGUUUGAGUUUAGAGAAAUAUUUGUAAUGUAUGUUAGUUAAACUUAUGCAAAAUCGGAGCUAGUAUUAUUAGUGUGUAAUUCAUUCAUUCAUUCAAGUAUUCGGU
rnacentral:lncRNA from 1 species